AACAAGGUUUCCGUAGGUGAACCUGCGGAAGGAUCAUUACCGAGUUGAUUCGGGCUCCGGCCCGAUCCUCCCGCCCUUUGUGUACCUACCUCUGUUGCUUUGGCGGGCCGCGGUCCUCCGCGGCCGCCCCCCUCCCCGGGGGGUGGCCAGCGCCCGCCAGAGGACCAUCAAACUCCAGUCAGUAAACGAUGCAGUCUGAAAAACAUUUAAUAAACUAAAACUUUCAACAACGGAUCUCUUGGUUCUGGCAUCGAUGAAGAACGCAGCGAAAUGCGAUAAGUAAUGUGAAUUGCAGAAUUCAGUGAAUCAUCGAAUCUUUGAACGCACAUUGCGCCCUUUGGUAUUCCGAAGGGCAUGCCUGUUCGAGCGUCAUUACAACCCUCAAGCUCUGCUUGGUAUUGGGCACCGUCCUUUGCGGGCGCGCCUCAAAGACCUCGGCGGUGGCGUCUUGCCUCAAGCGUAGUAGAACAUACAUCUCGCUUCGGAGCGCAGGGCGUCGCCCGCCGGACGAACCUUCUGAACUUUUCUCAAGGUUGACCUCGGAUCAGGUAGGGAUACCCGCUGAACUUAAGCAUAUCAAUAAGCGGAGGA
rnacentral:rRNA from 1 species